AAAUGUACAUUUCCACUCUCAUCAUUAAAGGUGGUGUAUUAUUUUGGCAAGUUUCAAGGCUUUUUCCAAGAUAACAGUGAUAUUGGGAGAGGUAAGAAAAUUGGGUACAGAAGCAGUAAGUUGCAGAGUUAGUUGGUGGCAGAUCCCAGAGACAAGGAAGGAUCUCUUUGAGGAUCAAGGAAGUUAAUUACAAGAAAUAGAACAGUGUCUGGC